UGGGGAAUUUUGGACAAUGGGCGAAAGCCUGAUCCAGCAAUGCCGCGUGUGUGAAGAAGGCCUUCGGGUUGUAAAGCACUUUUGUCCGGAAAGAAAUCCUUGGCUCUAAUACAGUCGGGGGAUGACGGUACCGGAAGAAUAAGCACCGGCUAACUACGUGCCAGCAGCCGCGGUAAUACGUAGGGUGCAAGCGUUAAUCGGAAUUACUGGGCGUAAAGCGUGCGCAGGCGGUUUGCUAAGACCGAUGUGAAAUCCCCGGGCUCAACCUGGGAACUGCAUUGGUGACUGGCAGGCUAGAGUAUGGCAGAGGGGGGUAGAAUUCCACGUGUAGCAGUGAAAUGCGUAGAGAUGUGGAGGAAUACCGAUGGCGAAGGCAGCCCCCUGGGCCAAAUACUGACGCUCAUGCACGAAAGCGUGGGGGAGCAAAACAGGAUUAGAUACCCUGGUAGUCCACGCCCUAAAACGAUGUCAACUAGUUGUUGGGGAUUCAUUUCCUUAGUAACGUAGCUAACGCGUGAAGUUGACCGCCUGGGGGAGUACGGUCGCAAGAUU
rnacentral:rRNA from 1 species